GCUUUUUAAGGUGCAUCUUUAAUUUCAGAUUUUAAGUCUGUUUUGGUGCGAUUCUGGAGAGCUUGAGUUCGGGGGAAGAUAACAGAAUACCUUGUGUAGCGAUGAAAUGCUCCGAUCCAAGGUGGAAUACCAAUAGCGAAGGCUGUUAUCUACAACGAAACUGACGUCUAGUGCGCGAAAGCUUAGGUAGCAAACCGGAUUAGGGACCCGAUUAGUCUAAGCCGUCAACUAUGGGCACUCGUCUUCGGAGAAUUUAAUAUUCGGGGACUAAGCUAACGCGUUAAGUGUCUCGCCUGG
rnacentral:rRNA from 1 species